UAUCAACACUGAAUUUAUGAAAAAGAUCUCGUUCAUGCUUCAUUUUGAAGGAACUUUUUUAUUAUGCGUUAAAGUACAAAGUUAUCUUUGUUUUGGUGAUUUUAUAUAUAGAUUUCGUUAAUAUAUAAUACGAAAUAAAUUGGCGGAAAUAUACAUUUCAUGUGAAAUGAUACUGUCAUUAUAUUGUUUAAUGAGGUUACGUCGGUAUAAAUGACAGUAUAUUAGUCAAAUAUAAAGUUAAACCUAAAAGUCAUGUAAAAGAAAUGUUCAAAAGGAUUGGGAUUGAAACAUUUUGUUAAUUUCAAUUGUGAUACAUUACAAUAUAAAUACUUUGUGAGAAUUUAAUGAAUGAAGGCAAAACGAGAUAUUUUGCGGGGGGUCUUUACUGGGGUUAUUGUGACCCAAGUAGACCAAAAAUCCGCUUUAAUAGUAAGCUUUCGAUCAAGACUGCCAAUGUAAGACUGAACUACUGAUGUAUGGAAUAAUUGUCUUUAACAUUAAAUACGGACAGCAUCAAUGGGAAACUGUUUCUCGUGUUUUAAGGUGUCUCUUCCACCAGCCACUGCCACAAGAUCUUCAUCAUUUGAUUAUAAGGACG